UGCCAGCAGCCGCGGUAAUACGUAAGUCGCAAGCGUUAUCCGGAAUCACUGGGCUUAAAGGGCGUGUAGGCGGCGAUUUAAGUCGGAUGUGAAAUCUCUCGGCCUAACCGGGAAACUGCAUCCGAAACUGGAUUGCUAGAGUGCGGGAGGGGCAAGUGGAACUCCAGGUGUAGCGGUGAAAUGCGUAGAUAUCUGGAGGAACGCCGGUGGCGAAAGCGACUUGCUGGACCGCAACUGACGCUGAGGCGCGAAAGCUAGGGGAGCGAACGGGAUUAGAUA
rnacentral:rRNA from 1 species